rnacentral:rRNA from 1 species
AACGAACGCUGGCGGCAUGCCUAACACAUGCAAGUCGAACGAGACCUUCGGGUCUAGUGGCGCACGGGUGCGUAACGCGUGGGAACCUGCCCUAAGGUUCGGAAUAACACAGAGAAAUUUGUGCUAAUACCGGAUAAUGUCUUCGGACCAAAGAUUUAUCGCCUUUGGAUGGGCCCGCGUAGGAUUAGCUAGUUGGUGAGGUAAAGGCUCACCAAGGCGACGAUCCUUAGCUGGUCUUAGAGGAUGAUCAGCCACACUGGGACUGAGACACGGCCCAGACUCCUACGGGAGGCAGCAGUGGGGAAUAUUGGACAAUGGGCGCAAGCCUGAUCCAGCAAUGCCGCGUGAGUGAUGAAGGCCUUAGGGUUGUAAAGCUCUUUUACUGGGGAUGAUAAUGACAGUACCCAGAGAAUAAGCCCCGGCUAACUCCGUGCCAGCAGCCGCAGUAAUAC